rnacentral:rRNA from 1 species
GGGCCCGCACAAGCGGUGGAGCAUGUGGUUUAAUUCGAUGCAACGCGAAGAACCUUACCUGGUCUUGACAUACACAGAAUCUUGUAGAGAUACGAGAGUGCCUUCGGGAAUUGUGAUACAGGUGCUGCAUGGCUGUCGUCAGCUCGUGUCGUGAGAUGUUGGGUUAAGUCCCGCAACGAGCGCAACCCUUGUCCUUAGUUGCCAGCAGUUCGGCUGGGCACUCUAAGGAAACUGCCCGUGAUAAGCGGGAGGAAGGUGUGGAUGACGUCAAGUCCUCAUGGCCCUUACGGGUUGGGCUACACACGUGCUACAAUGGCAGUGACAAUGGGUUAAUCCCCAAAAGCUGUCUCAGUUCGGAUUGGGGUCUGCAACUCGACCCCAUGAAGUCGGAAUCGCUAGUAAUCG